GCCUGGCUGGCUCAGUCGGCACAGCAUAAGACUCUUGAUCUCAAGGUCAUGAGUUCAAGCCCCACACUGGGCA
rnacentral:tRNA from 1 species